rnacentral:ncRNA from 2 species
CAACAUUCCUUUGGUUCGCGCGCCCUCAUCGCCGUGAUGAGGACUGGGAAGCGGGUGAGAAUCCCGCGCUGCCGCGCAACUGUAAGCGAGGAAAGUGCCGCCGGUCACCGGGAGUAAUCCUGGGAAGGCCGGUGGCGAUAGCCGGAUAUUGAAAUUCGUGGGCGAAGUCGCCCCUCAAUGUCCUAACUCGCCAAGCCAGGAGACCGGCGCGAACCGUCCACACUAA